UCCUGCAGAGCUGAUUAUUGAUGCUUCCCUGAGCAAUGAUGGCUUGAUAUUCAGUGCUUCUCUGUAUGGAAAGCCCGGUGUAUGAAUCAAUAUUUGUCAACAUGCACCAGAUAUCACAUGUUUUCACGCCACAAGCUGAUUUGACAAGGGCAAAUGCACAUUUCAGAAGCCGGUUAUGCAAACUGACAGACAGUGAAUGGAACUUCAUCUGACAGGUUACCUUGCUACGGGGUCUGAGUUUAUCAGCUAUGUCGGGAAGACAAACAACUUUCCGUUGAUCAUUGUUCAGAGAUGUACUCAUACAUAGAAACAGAAUCGGAUCUUAUCUGCAGUAGAAAGAAAGACGUCUUGGCUCUAUGCAUGCAUAAUUCUAUUUCUGACAAAAUUCAUUGACUGGAGAUAAUUCAGAAGCAUCUGGAUUCAAGAGACUGUACACUGUAACCUACAGCCAAGAGGAAUGUGGCCAACUGAAACUUAUUAUUAAAGUACAGUAAAUGUC